UGUACCUUGUGCGGAUCGUAUCAUUCUCCCCCUCUUUAAAAGGAUUCGUCCUCGAAUUCGGACAAAUAUCACAAGGAGUAUAAACAAGAUCGAUCUCUCUGUUUGGUACCGAACUUACACAUCUCUGCACCACAUCGCCAAACACACUAUCUAGCAUCCAUUGAAGUGGAUAUGAACGCGAGUAUUUUGUAGCUUGAAGUUCCAAUGCGUUCAACCUCUGUGUAGAGAAUGAUUGAAGCAUCUCUCUAGGCACCGCCAUCUCAUCAACAUUCACACUGAGAGUUUGCACUUUGCUUAGCUCGGCAUUAACUUCGAUGCAUGGCUGACUCAUAUCAAUUUGUGUAGAUAACGUGGGUUAUUUACACAAUUGGUGUAAGAGUGGAAAUGAAUAAAAGAAAUGGUGUGGUUUUUCCGUAAUUUACAAAAUUGGUGUAAAUUUUCUAUGCAAGAGGCGCUUUCUGGCCAAAACUGACACAUCAGGAAUUGUGCAAAAAUAAAGCAGCUUAUUUUCUUUUUUGUUUGGUAGUAAUCAACGGCUGCGAUGUGGAGGAGGAAAAGGAAUGGUCGAGAUCGGUGCUAAGAAGUCACGGGGCCUAGAUUGUACUCUGCAGAGGCGAUUUAUGCAAAAGCAGAAAACACCUCUGGCAGAGGCGAUUUGUACAUGUAGGUAGUAACGAGCUGUUGCCUUUAUUUCACCAGGUGAGAUGGAGGUUGGCUUAAUAAGUCGCAUUCUUCUCCAUUUCUCCACACUCCUUCCAAACAGAAGGUAAAAGUAAAUAUACGAAGAUUGCAAUUGAACGGGAGGAUAGAGUAGUGUCCGAAAAGUCGUGGGAUUGUUCAAGAUCAAUCAUAUAUUAAUUUCACGUAUUUUAUAAUGCUUUUUAAAAACUAAUUUCGUGUUAUUCAUUGUGUAAAAUGUGAUACUAAUAUAAUUAUUAUGAUAAUAUAAUUAUGUUGUUUGGUUUUUAGAUUUGUAUAUAGUUAAAAGAAUUUUAAUAACAUUGUUUGAUAAUAAUUUUUUUAAUUAUUUAUAUUUUCUUUACCAAAACAAAUAGCUGAAUUUAAUGGCACCUAAUAAGUAAUCGUGUAUAUUGAGGGUAAUAUAUUCAAGAUGAUUGGUCGGUGGAAUACGCUUACAAAGCAGUUUUUCGAAUUAAAAGGAAUAUUUCUUUCCAACUAAUAUUAUCGAAUUUGUAUGAACGAUUCGAAAUAGAAAAUACUAGGUUCAUUUUAUAAGUUCGGGAAAAACAUUUUCGCUUAUAUGGGGAUAGGGUUAAAUCAAUGCUUUGUGAAAUUAGUAUGGAUCAAGAUUUAGAAAUGUUUCUUGAUCGGGAAGAAGGGAAUGAUUCAAUGGACAUUUUUGUUCAAAUCGUACCAUUAUACAAUAAUGCACCGCCUCCACAAUUAACUUUCGAUCUGAAUGAGUCAUACAACACAGUCUCACACUUGAGUCCGGAAGUGGUUGCUGCCACACAAGAAUUUUCUAGCAUGGAAUUUACGAAUUUUGGUGCUGGAACUUCUACACCUGCGAUAAAUUUUGGUGGUGGAAAUUUUGGGGACACGAGCACAAUGAGAGAAGUCCCACACCUCAAUACAUAUGAGCUAACAGGAGAUUUUACAGACAUGUCGGGAUAUUUCGUUGGGGCCGAUCCUCCUGUUGACUCAAAACCAUCCGAUCAAGAAGAUGACGACAACGUCGACUAGGACCAUAAUCAUGAUGAUGACGAGAAUGUUGCCAAUGUUCCUCCUAAUAUGCCAUUAGUGGCA